GGAUUGAUAGCUCAGUGGUAGAGCGGGAGAUUGCAGUUUCUGCAAAAUAUCUUCAGGUCGCGUGUUCGAUCCACGCUCGGUCCU